rnacentral:rRNA from 1 species
GAUGAACGCUGGCGGCGUGCCUAAUACAUGCAAGUCGAGCGAACGGACGAGAAGCUUGCUUUUCUGAUGUUAGCGGCGGACGGGUGAGUAACACGUUGAUAACCUACCUAUAAGACUGGGAUAACUUCGGGAAACCGGAGCUAAUACCGGAUAAUAUUUUGAACCGCAUGGUUCAACAGUGAAAGACGGUCUUGCUGUCACUUAUAGAUGGAUCCGCGCUGCAUUAGCUAGUUGGUAAGGUAACGGCUUACCAAGGCAACGAUGCAUAGCCGACCUGAGAGGGAGAACGGACACACUGGCACUGAGAAACGGUCCAGACUCCUACGGGAGGCAGCAGUAGGGAAUCUUCCGCGAUGGGCGAAAGCCUGACGGAGCAACGCCGCGUGAGUGAUGAAGGUCUUCGGAUCGUAAAACUCUGUUAUUAGGGAAGAACAUAUGUGUAAGUAACUGUGCACAUCUUGACGGUACCUAAUCAGAAAGCCACGGCUAACUACGUG